AGUGAACGCUGGCGGUAGGCCUAACACAUGCAAGUCGAACGGCAGCACAGAGGAGCUUGCUCCUUGGGUGGCGAGUGGCGGACGGGUGAGGAAUACAUCGGAAUCUACUCUGUCGUGGGGGAUAACGUAGGGAAACUUACGCUAAUACCGCAUACGACCUACGGGUGAAAGCAGGGGACCUUCGGGCCUUGCGCGAUUGAAUGAGCCGAUGUCGGAUUAGCUAGUUGGCGGGGUAAAGGCCCACCAAGGCGACGAUCCGUAGCUGGUCUGAGAGGAUGAUCAGCCAGACUGGAACUGAGACACGGUCCAGACUCCUACGGGAGGCAGCAGUGGGGAAUAUUGGACAAUGGGCGCAAGCCUGAUCCAGCCAUACCGCGUGGGUGAAGAAGGCCUUCGGGUUGUAAAGCCCUUUUGUUGGGAAAGAAAUCCAGCCGGCUAAUACCCGGUUGGGAUGACGGUACCCAAAGAAUAAGCACCGGCUAACUUCGUGCCAGCCGCCGCGGUAA
rnacentral:rRNA from 1 species